AGCAACAGCCAUAUCUCGAAGGUUUUGAGCUUAAUUCUCUUGGACUAGAAGUCAAGCUUCGUCGGGCGCGGUUAGUACUUGGAUGGGUGACCGCUUGGGAACACCCCGUGUCGUUGUCC
rnacentral:rRNA from 14 species